rnacentral:misc_RNA from 1 species
AUCAGAUGCUCAAACAUAGAAAUGAUGGUGGUUGCCCUGCCAAGGGAUUUUACACCUAUGACGCUUUUAUCUCAGCAGCCAAAGCUUUUCCUACCUUCGGCACCACUGGGGAUGUUGCGACACGUAAAAGGGAGAUUGCUGCCUUCUUUGCCCAGACGUCUCAUGAAACUACAGGAGGGUGGGGAACUGCACCAGAUGGAC